rnacentral:lncRNA from 1 species
CCAGACUGGACUGGAUUCACGACUCAUCACGCCACUAACUCAACUCCUUUGGUCACAUACAUUUGUACAUUGAAUCAUCAUCAGAUGUUAUUUAUGCCAACCCCUAGAGCUUUGCAUUGGUAUGAUCCAGUUGAGAAUUUUUCAGGUAAUCGUCAGAUUUACUAGUUAAAAGCAGUAUAUUACUUUUAAGUUAAACCCCCGCAUGUACAAAAUGUACAUGUGAUUACAACAUAUAACAAACAUAUUUAUAUAGAUUAAGAC